CAGCCGCCGCGGUAAUACGUAGGUGGCAAGCGUUGUCCGGAAUUAUUGGGCGUAAAGCGCGCGCAGGCGGUCCUUUAAGUCUGAUGUGAAAUCUUGCGGCUCAACCGCAAGCGGCCAUUGGAAACUGGGGGACUUGAGUGCAGGAGAGGGAAGUGGAAUUCCACGUGUAGCGGUGAAAUGCGUAGAGAUGUGGAGGAACACCAGUGGCGAAGGCGGCUUCCUGGCCUGUAACUGACGCUGAGGCGCGAAAGCGUGGGGAGCAAACAGGAUUAGAUACCCUGGUAGUCCACGCCGUAAACGAUGAGUGCUAAGUGUUAGGGGGUUUCCGCCCUUAGUGCUGCAGCUAACGCAUUAAGCACUCCGCCUGGGGAGUACGGCCGCAAGGCUGAAACUUAAAGGAAUUGGCGGG
rnacentral:rRNA from 1 species